GACGAACCGUCCGAACGUUAUUCGGUAUCACUGGGCUUAAAAGCGUGCGUAGGCGGCCUGGUAGGUGAGAUGUGAAAGCCCACGGCUCAACCGUGGAAUUGCGUUUCAAACCACCAGGCUGGAGGAUGGCAGGGGUGAUGGGAACUGAUGGUGGAGCGGUGAAAUGCGUUGAUAUCAUCAGGAACACCGGUGCGAAGGCGCAUCACUGGGCCAUUUCUGACGCUGAGGCACGAAAGCUAGGGUAGCGAACAGGAUUAGA
rnacentral:rRNA from 1 species